GAUGAACGCCGGCGGCGUGCCUAAUACAUGCAAGUCGAGCGAACGGACGAGAAGCUUGCUUUUCUGAUGUUAGCGGCGGACGGGUGAGUAACACGUGGAUAACCUACCUAUAAGACUGGGAUAACUUCGGGAAACCGGAGCUAAUACCGGAUAAUAUUUUGAACCGCAUGGUUCAAAAGUGAAAGACGGUCUUGCUGUCACUUAUAGAUGGAUCCGCGCUGCAUUAGCUAGUUGGUAAGGUAACGGCUUACCAAGGCAACGAUGCAUAGCCGACCUGAGAGGGUGAUCGGCCACACUGGAACUGAGACACGGUCCAGACUCCUACGGGAGACAGCAGUAGGGAAUCUUCCGCAAUGGGCGAAAGCCUGACGGAGCAACGCCGCGUGAGUGAUGAAGGUCUUCGGAUCGUAAAACUCUGUUAUUAGGGAAGAACAUAUGUGUAAGUAACUGUGCACAUCUUGACGGUACCUAAUCAGAAAGCCACGGCUAACUACGUG
rnacentral:rRNA from 1 species